GAGAAUUUGGCGGGAAGAAAGGGGUGAGCAGAGGUGCAUGUUCUGGCACUUUCCACGAAGGCUACUCUCCUGCGUGGGGGAGGGUGAGACGCACCCCUCCCUCCUCCAACAAGUACACCUCAGCUGAGAUUUGGGGAUCGCCUCACCUGUAUUUACAAACCCACCACCGCACUCCCUGCACCGUGCACCCGCAACUUCGCCAUCCACAGCUAGCCGCAGCAGAGCCGAACAGACCGAGGGGGAAAGACAGACAAAUCGGCGCGAGCGAGCGCAGGGACCGGGCAGCGGGGAGCGCGAGCGCGGGUUCAAUUAGCGAAACAAAGCAAUCAUGGCGGAGCGAGCACACCGGGCUGCGCGCCCCGAGGACUCGGCGACCGCCCCGCGCCCUGGCCGACAUGUGAGUUGGUUGCCCUCCUGAGAACAUCUAACUGCCACUCCAGAAUGAGAUGAGUAAGGCUCCAUAUUAGUGAUAUGGGCUGAAGAAACCCCUUCCAGAAGACAGGAUGUUUAAGAGUGACAGCUCAGUUGUCCUCCUUCUCUGCUGGGAAGUGCUCCUGGGACACCAUUCCAUCUUGUCUGGAAUGUUUAAGGUGCUCUUAUUAACUGUACAGAUAGCUUGUCUGGCUUUGAGCCUUGAACUCAUCUAAAGGAACCAGGUGAUAACCAUAGUGUGUCUGGACUCACCUUGGACCCUGGCUCUCUCUAAGGAUCUCACUGGGUAAUCCCUGGCUGUCCUGGAAUUUACCAUGUAGAAGAGAAUGGUCUGAAACUCACAAAGAUCCAUUCUCCUGUCUCUGUCUUGUACCUUCAAGUAGUGAGAUUAAAGAUGUGUGGCUCCAAAUCUGGCUUCAAACUGUUAGGCAGAAUCAAAGAAUCUUCACCUUCUCAAACAUAGGAGUCCAAAUUGCACAAGUGCAUUAAGGCUUCUGACUGUCACACCACAACACUUGAAACUAUUUGAUUCCAGUGAAUGAGUGGAACAAGACUGUCUGAAAGCAGAGGACACCUCUGUCCUGAAGAGCCGCACUCUGCAACUUCCAGCUAUAAAGAGUUUCUACCACUCUCCUUCUGCAUCAGGCAACAAGAAGAGAUUGAGCCCCCAGGGAAUCAUAGGUAUCAUUCAGACUGACUAGGAGAAUGAAUGAAAGGCACAAAUGGACCACAGCAGUCAUCACACCCCUUCUGAGCUAACUCCUGGAGACC